rnacentral:rRNA from 1 species
UACAGAGGUCUCAAGCGUUGUUCGGAUUCAUUGGGCGUAAAGGGUGCGUAGGUGGCGCGCUAAGUCAGGUGUGAAAUCUCGGGGCUUAACUCCGAAACUGCAUUUGAUACUGGCGUGCUUGAGGACUGGAGAGGAGACUGGAAUUCAUGGUGUAGCAGUGAAAUGCGUAGAUAUCGUAAGGAAGACCAGUGGCGAAGGCGGGUCUCUGGACAGUUCCUGACGCUGAGGCACGAAGGCCAGGGGAGCAAACGGG